AGUGGGAUAGCUGGGUCAAAAGGUGUUUCCAUUCCCAGUUUUCUAAGGUUUCUCCAUACUGCUUUCCAAAAGUGGUUGUACCAUUUUGCAAUCCUACCAGCAAU
rnacentral:pre_miRNA from 1 species